GCAGCUAACGCAUUAAGCACUCCGCCUGGGAGUACGGUCGCAAGACUGAAACUCAAAGGAAUGACGGGGGCCCGCACAACGGGAGCAUGUGGUUUAAUUGAAGCAACGGAAGAACCUUACCAGGUCUUGACAUCCUCUGACAAUCCUAGAGAUAGGACGUCCCCUUCGGGGGCAGAGUGACAGGUGGUGCAUGGUUGUCGUCAGCUCGUGUCGUGAGAUGUUGGGUUAAGUCCCGCAACGAGCGCAACCCUUCUUAGUUGCCAGCAUUCAGUUGGGCACUCUAAGGUGACUGCCGGUGACAAACCGGAGGAAGGUGGGGAUGACGUCAAAUCAUCAUGCCCCUUAUGACCUGGGCUACACACGUGCUACAAUGGACAGAACAAAGGGCAGGAAACCGCGAGGUUAAGCCAAUCCCACAAAUCUGUUUCAGUUCGGAUCGCAGUCUGCAACUCGACUGCGGAGCGGAAUCGCUAGAAUGGAGUC
rnacentral:rRNA from 2 species